CCUACGGGAGGCAGCAGUAAGGAAUAUUGGUCAAUGGGGGCAACCCUGAACCAGCCAUGCCGCGUGCAGGAUGAAGGCCCUAUGGGUCGUAAACUGCUUUUAUACCGGAGAAAACCCCCGUACGUGUACGGGGUUGAUAGUAUGGUAAGAAUAAGCAUCGGCUAACUUCGUGCCAGCAGCCGCGGUAAGACGAAGGAUGCAAGCGUUAUCCGGAUUCAUUGGGUUUAAAGGGUGCGUAGGCGGACCUGUAAGUCAGUGGUGAAAUCUCUUUGCUUAACAAAGAAACUGCCAUUGAUACUGCAAGUCUAGAGUAUAGAUGACGUUGGCGGAAUAUGACAUGUAGUGGUGAAAUACUUAGAUAUGUCAUAGAACACCGAUUGCGAAGGCAGCUAACGAAACUAUAACUGACGCUGAGGCACGAAAGUGCGGGGAUCAAACAGGAUUAGAUACCCUGGUAGUCCGCACCGUAAACGAUGAUUACUCGUUGUUGGCAAUAUGACCGUCAGCGACCAAGCGAAAGCGAUAAGUAAUCCACCUGGGGAGUACGCCGGCAACGGUGAAACGUCAAAGGAAUUGACGG
rnacentral:rRNA from 1 species